rnacentral:rRNA from 1 species
UACAGAGGGGGCGAGCGUUGUUCGGAAUUACUGGGCGUAAAGGGCGCGUAGGCGGCCUUCUAAGUCGAACGUGAAAUCCCCGGGCUCAACCCGGGAACUGCGUCCGAUACUGGGAGGCUUGAAUCCGGGAGAGGGAUGCAGAAUUCCAGGUGUAGCGGUGAAAUGCGUAGAUAUCUGGAGGAAUACCGGUGGCGAAGGCGGCAUCCUGGACCGGCAUUGACGCUGAGGAGCGAAAGCCAGGGGAGCAAACGGG